CAAUAGCAUAUAUUAACGUUGUUGCAGUUGAAAAGCUCGUAGUUGAACUUUUGGUAGGAGCGACCUGGCCUUGGGCGCAUGCCCUUGUUUGCCGUGUGUCGUAUCUGGCCAUCCUUUUCCGUUUCGGCGGGAAUCUUUUACUGUGAGUAAACUGGAGUGCUCAAAACAAGACGUUUGUUUGGUACAUUAAAGCAUGGAAUAAUAAGAUAGGACCUGGUUACUAUUUUGUUGGUUUGCAUAGCUAGGUAAUGAUUAACAGGGACAGUUGGGGGUAUUCGUAUUUAAUUGUCAGAGGUGAAAUUCUUGGAUUUAUGAAAGACGAACGACUGCGAAAGCAUUUACCAAGGAUGUUUNCAUUAA
rnacentral:rRNA from 1 species